AGAGCUGACCUCUUGCCUCUUAAAACAUACGAAAAAGAAAAACCAGCUAUACUCUAACUAUUACAUAUUCAGUUUCUUUUCAUGACACUAGCAGUACUUAUGGAAAGUUCAAUUGUUGAAGUUGAUUCUGCCAGUGAGCAUUUCCCCUGCCAGUGGUGUGCAUAUAUAGUGCGAUUUUCCUGCAUAAUUUAUCUGCAUUGUAGUGUCUGGCUUGAAAACUCAUUUUAUUUCUAGAUAAUAUUAACCAUCAUACCAAAUACACAGCUAAUGAUUGGUUCUUUUUUUGUCUUAUUUUUUGCCCAUACGUUUGCCCACAAUACUUUCUCUUGCCAGUAUCUAAUUGUCCUUUGGAUUUUCAGCCAUUACAGUAAUCUUUGCCAUAGAUUCUUGGUUACUAAGCAUUCAAAUAGUAAAUGGUCUAAAGUUUCUGUGGUUGAGUCACAAUAUAUACAACUUUGAGGCACAUGAAUGCCAAAUUUUAGCAGUCUAUCUACAGUUCCUAGUCUCCUCCUUAUAGCCAGCCAUAGGAUAAAUUUGUGUUGGGGGUGAAGUUGUUAUUGAAGAAUUAUGCUUUUCCAUGAUAUCUUUUGGUACUGAGGUAGCAUCUUGUGUACAACUUCUUGAUACUCAGCUUGCCUUCAAUUACCACAGUUUGAAGUCUAGUCUUCAGACCUCCCUGCAGAGUUGGACAUUGCUUAAUAUAAUCCCUUGAUGCUAUGAUUUUUCGGAUGACCCAUGUUGCAUUUGCUAGGAUAUUACAUGUCUCUACUGCCUCACUCUUCAAGUAAUAUUCUUGGAUUCAUUUAACCUAGAGGCAGUCCUUCCUCUUACUAAUUGCCCAUAAUAGUUUUAAUAUUGCUGCCUUGUUCCACAAUCUCACAUUUUGCAAAUUUAAUCCUCCUACUGCUGUAGGCAUACACAAUUUGUCCCAAGAUAUUAGAGACUUUCUAGAUGUCUCUGUAGAACCUGUCCAUAAGAAAGUUCUACUAAUAGCUUCUAUUAUUUUUAAAAUCUUCUUGGGUAGAAUAAAAAUUUGUGCCCAAUAGGUUUGUUUGCUGAAAAUAACUGCCUUGACCAACUUUAGUCUACCUGCAUAUGAUAACAAUUUGGUAGACCAACAUCUGAUUCUCUCUGUAAUCUUAGGGGUAGACAUUGGCUUACUAUGAGUUUUUUUUUUAAGAGAGAGGGACCCCCAGGUACUUGAAUGGGAUUUCUCUUUCCCUGUAUCCAAGUACCUGCAGAAGUUCAUGCUUUAUCUGAGAUUUCACACCUGCUAUAUAGAAGGAGCUUUUCUCUGGGUUUGCCUGAAGGCCUGAUGCUGCUGAGAAUCUUGCAAAUGCCUCUUGCAAUAGGGUAGUUCUGUUGCUGCUGAGCUAAUGAGGUUUGAGAAAAAUUUGGUGAAUUCAGCUUCAACUUGCAUUGGAUCCUCUAACUUAUUUCCCUGUUCAUCAUAUAUACUAGUAAUGGCACUCUUGCUUGUCCGAAGCUUUAGCUGCGCAUGGAAAUACUUUGUUUGCAUCCCCCCAUCUAUCCAAUUGACUCUAGCUUUCUACCUGUAAACUAGCUACUCAACUUUACUCUAUUUCUUGAGUUCACUCAGCCAGAUUAUUUCUUGCUUAAUUAAAUUGGGACAUAGAGGCUUUCUAAUAAGCAUGCCUUGUGUAAUCUCAAGACCUUGUAUAGCCUGCUGGAUUCUUUGACUGUAGGAAGCUAAAUAGGUGUUUAAGUUUCUUAAACUAUUCUGCAAUGCCUUUAGUUUAUACCAAAGGUUGAACAUUUUAGUACCUUGACAUGGAGUGUUCCAUGUAUCUUCUAAAAUCCUUCUAAAGUCGGGAUGUUUCAACACUAUCAUGUAUAAUUUGAAAGGUUUUGGACCUGUUGGUGGCUGAGAGCACAUACUGAUAACUAUGGGAGAAUGAUCAGAUAUUUCAGGAUUCAAAAACUCUGCCUCUACAUGACUAUAAGUAGAUACCCAGUGAGAGUUACUGAAAGCCUAAUCUAUUUUAGAAUAUACUCUACUACUGGGGUCCUUCCUAUUGCAGAAGGUGAAAUGACAUCCUUUAGCUUUGAGCAUUGUAAGAGAGAGGGUAGUGAGACACCCUUGGAAGUUGUCAACUUCACUAGGCAACACAGGUGAGCCAAUUCUAUCUUCUGUUGUCAAAAUAUUGUUGAAAUCACCACUAAGCAGCCAGGGAUUCUAAAUAUUUUGUUCUAGCUGAAGUAAGUCUUACCAUAGUACUUCCCUAUGUUGAUGUUCAUUCCUAGCAUAUAUUAUAGUCUGGUAAAACUGGGAGUGGUUUGCAUGGAGCUCGACCUUACAAUGUAUAAAUUGUUCAUGAAGGAGCUCCACCUGCAAGUUUAUGUUUGCCUUCCAGAAAAUCCACACCCUGCCAUUGUAGGCGAUAGGGUAGUUGCAUCUAUGAUUCCACCACUUGCAACUUUUGCUAUUACCUUUUUUGCUUUAUUUUCUUUCACUCUAGUGUCCAACACACCCAUUAUUUUCACUUUAUUCUUCUGCAGAAAAAGUUUUAACUCUUUCUGUUUUGAGGACUGAUUCAGUCCUCUUAUGUUUCACGUUGAUAGUAUCAUGGAGAUUUGUGUUGCAUUUCCUAAUUUUCAAUAUUACUAGUACCUUCCUGCAUUAGCAUUGCAAAUCUAUUUACUAUGUUGCUGGAACUAGUUGUUGUCUGUUUUCCUUUUAUGCUUCUAGCCAUUGUGAUCCCUUGUUUACAUAUAAUUUCAUUGUCCCUUCCCUGUUGAACCUCUGAUGAAGCCUAUGUCUCUCCUGAAUCUUCUUUCCUUACUUGCGCUUCUUUCAUUGUCCAUUCCUGCUUCAUAGGUGGGGGUUGUCUUUUCUUUUUGUUCCUUCUUCUUCGCCUGUUCUUCACAUCCUGGAAUUCACCCUCCGUUGUGGAGUUUUCUUUCAUCCAACAAUCUUCUGUUGUGUGCCCAAGCUGUAAGCAUUCACUGCAAAAUUUAGGUCGCCAGUCAUACUCAACAUAUUAGUAAAGCUUCCCCCUGGAGUGUUUAAUUCAAUAGUAUCUGGGAGCGGUGUGACAAUAUCCACUUCAACCAGGAUUCUAGCAUAGGAGAUACGACUUAUAUUUGCAGUGAAUUGGUCCGUGUAUAAUGGUCGUCCCACUGCACUCGCUACUUUGCCGAGAGCUUCAGUCGACCAGUAGCCCACCGGAAGACCUGGGAGAGUUACGCAUAACAGAAUUGUAGUAAUACAAUCUUGGUUGAAAAUGAAGUUCACCUGCUAGUCAUGAAGUACGAAAGUCUUGUUGUGAAAAGUAUACAAGCCAGCCUGCUUCACCUUUUCACAGUCCUCCAUAGAAUCAAAUCGAAAGAUGAAAUAACCUUCAUCAUCCUGUAGUACCUGAUGUUUUUGGGAAAAACCCCAUGCCUGCGAGAUGUAGCUUUCCAUUGUCCUCAGGUAGAUGAAGACGAAAGUGAUCAAGUGGAUCAAUUAUUUACUCAAGGCUUCUUGUGUGUGAUGGAAAAUGUAUGAUUUUAUUUACAAUUUCACAUGACAAGAAUUCAUGCUAGUUAAAUGUGGUGCUUUAAGCAUAAUUUUAUACUAACUUAAGAAAGAAAAAUUAG